rnacentral:rRNA from 1 species
UGCCAGACUCCUACGGGAGGCAGCAGUGAGGAAUAUUGGUCAAUGGCCGAGAGGCUGAACCAGCCAAGUCGCGUGAGGGAAGACGGCCCUACGGGUUGUAAACUUCUUUUGUCAGGGAGCAAUUGGGUCCACGCGUGGGCUUAGCGAGAGUACCUGAAGAAAAAGCAUCGGCUAACUCCGUGCCAGCAGCCGCGGUAAUACGGAGGAUGCGAGCGUUAUCCGGAUUUAUUGGGUUUAAAGGGUGCGCAGGCGGAAGAUCAAGUCAGCGGUAAAAUGGAGAGGCUCAACCUCUGCGAGCCGUUGAAACUGGUUUUCUUGAGUGAGCGAGAAGUAUGCGGAAUGCGUGGUGUAGCGGUGAAAUGCAUAGAUAUCACGCAGAACUCCGAUUGCGAAGGCAGCAUACCGGCGCUCAACUGACGCUCAUGCACGAAAGUGUGGGUAUCGAACAGGAUUAGAUACCCCCGUAU